AUCCAGCUCACGAGUCCCAAAUAGGAAGAAACGCGCGUCCUGGAU
rnacentral:hammerhead_ribozyme from 1 species